CAAUUAAUCGAAGUAAAACUAGAUAAGUAGAACCACGAAUUGAGAGGGGUAGAAUUGCGCUCAACCCAAGUAAACAAAAGUGAUCAAAAACGCGCGAGUUCUUCAUUCGAAAAAUCUCGGUAGAGCGAGCAUGAAAAAUUCGCACUUCUCGCAACGGGGGACGCACGAAGUCGCACUGACUUUUCGUAUCUCAAUCCUUCAACUGCUCUUUACCACACAUCAGGAAUACAGAGACUCCAAGAGUAAACUCUAAGACCUCUGAGACCUAGUGACAGAUUGUUCGCAUCCUCGAUACCAGCAGCAAUAAGUAAGACGCAGGCAUUUGAUUUCCUCGACUCUUCACGUGUUGAUUGAAGAUUAUUUUUCACGAGCCCUCACGAUGAGCUGCUCGAAAAAUAGGUAAGCAGGGAGUAGACCUAAUAUUUUCUUUUGACAAGAAUAACGAGUGAUUUUACAGAUUUUCAAAGUGUCAAACAUAUUUUCUCCCAAACGUGACCCAAGUCUUCUAAGAUAUUUUUGUGACUCUUUCAUCGAUUGAAUUCUUCUCUAUCUAAUAUUCAAUAUUCUCUAAUUCAAUGGUAAUCAGAUCGAAGAAAUUCAUAUUCGUCAUAUUCGUUAUUCGUUGAAUUGUUGAUUGAAGAUUUGUUUCAGUCAAUUUUUUUGAAGAUUUGAUGAUAAUUCAGUUUCACUAACUUUUUUAUCAUGACAUUCGGUCGGUAAACAAUAUGCAGGGAUCUUUCAUCCCCUAUUUGCCCCGAAGGUCACCGCUGCUUAACAUUGAAUUUUACCUACGCGAGUUCGCGGCCGCGCACUAAUCCAAAUUCUUCGACCGCAAACUGCAAGAUGGCGUAUCUGAUGUAUUCAAAAAAAUAUCCCUCCCUUUUCAACGUACCGAGUUGUGUAGAACAUUUUUAAUUUUCUUCGAGCACGUUCUAUUGCUACUCCAAAAAAGCGACCAAGCAAAAAAUUUACAGACUUCGGUAAAAAUUGCUUUUACAACAGAGUCAACUAGGAGCUAUUCUUCUUCUUGUUGGAAUGGUUUUGGAAAAAGACUCCCAACUUUUGGAAAUACGUAUGUAUCCAAAUUCAAAGAAGUUCAAAUGUAUAAAUUUUCUUUCUGUUAUUUUCUUCUUACAACGUUCAACUUAUAACGUGCCACAGAUAUAAUAUAAGUCAAAUUUCAAUUAUUGUCGUUACUAAUAAAAUUAAUUGAAAAUUCAGCUAAUUACAUGCAAGAAUUUUCCAAAUUAAAUACUGCUGAUCCAUUGUAGUUAUGCCAUAUGUAUAUAUAUAUAUCUAACUAUUAUUCAUUAUGCUUGUUUUGCCGAGUCACUAUAGUACAACUAUCAUAAAUAAUACAUACAUAUAUACUUAUGUAUAUGUAAAAUUCGUCAGAGCAGAAAGACACAGAGAGUUUAUGGCACUGUCUGGUACCAGGCACAAACUAUACAUACCUAGAAUUGUAGAUAUAAUCAUCAUUGUUGGAGGCUUUGGUAAUGAAAAAUCUGGGUAUUAGUCUGCAAAAAAAAAAAAAAAAAAUCAAAGGUUCAGCCCUUUUUGUUUUCUCAUAGUCAAUUAUUCAUGGACCGUAGGGCGUGAUAGAAUUCUUGAAGAGCUUUCGGAGCAAAUAAAAAAAACUGAAAAUAUGGAAAACAAAAGGAGACUGGAGAGGAGGAGAAAAGUAUUAAGACCUGAAGGAUGUUGAGAGUCCGGGCAUAAGGGCAGUCUAAAGAAUGAUGCCUCAGGAAUGUGAGGUGUUCCUGUAAUUAAUGUCCCUAACCCCAGCCCCUGGUGUGCAGUGGCAUCAGCAAUGGCAAUGGCAGUGGCAGUGGUUGUUGAGUCCACUGGGGAAAAAGUUGCUCUUCUCCAUAUAACUCACAGUUGUUCUUGGUCCACACUUAGAGGUUCCCAAGGGCUUUAUCUGAUCAACCCGAAGACAAGCUAUGCUGCUCUCAGCUGCAGCGAGUCUGAACUUGAAUCAUUCUGCAGCCUAUCCCUAAGGAGAUCACCCGAUCCCCAACUUGAUUAUUGAGAAUUUCCGCCGAUGCUAUUAUACUUACUUUGCU